GUAACAACUACUGGGAAAAUGAUUCAAGAAACAAAACAGAAGUGGCCAGCACGACUGUUUCUAGUUGCUGUAGAGCAUCUCCUCCUUUCCUGCUUUCAGCCACAGCCUUCCUGUCCCACCCCUCCCGAGCUCACUGUGGAGGUCAGAUGUGGACCUUCUGGAAAUGCAGGAGGACCAAAAGCCACUGGGAGUAGGAAUUCCUAUCUAGAAGAAAAGACAUAGUGGAGAACUUCCAAGCUAUCUGCUGGCAGAUGCUGCUUCUGCUUCCUUAUGGAAAGACAGUAUCUUUGUUCCACCCAAUUAAAUAGAUACGGAAAGCCCUUCUGAGCUGAGCCUAGUAUGAUGUCCUGGAAGUCUUGCUUCACUGCAAAUUGGAGCCUUCAUUUGCACUCAGGAGUCUUGAGUCUCAGUUGAGGAUGACUAUGGCCUGUCUUAUGUGUGUGUAAGUACUUAAAAUGGAAGGAGAUGACAAAUUAACAUUUUAAACUAAGUGGGAUGCGUGUGUGCAAGGAGUGGAAGAAAACUGCCUUUAGACAAAAUCCAGAUAAUAUGUAGAUAGUGGAGGACAAUACUCAUUACAGCCAUUCCACUUCAAAUGGCUUUUCAUUCCUAG
rnacentral:lncRNA from 1 species